UUGACCUCGGAUCAGGUAGGGAUACCCGCUGAACUUAAGCAUAUCAAUAAGCGGAGGAAAAGAAACCAACCGGGAUUGCCUCAGUAACGGCGAGUGAAGCGGCAAGAGCUCAAAUUUGAAAGCUGGCUCCUUCGGAGUCCGCAUUGUAAUUUGCAGAGGAUGCUUUGGGUGCGGCCCCCGUCUAAGUGCCCUGGAACGGGCCGUCAGAGAGGGUGAGAAUCCCGUCUUGGGCGGGGUGUCCGUGCCCGUGUAAAGCUCCUUCGACGAGUCGAGUUGUUUGGGAAUGCAGCUCUAAAUGGGUGGUAAAUUUCAUCUAAAGCUAAAUACUGGCCGGAGACCGAUAGCGCACAAGUAGAGUGAUCGAAAGAUGAAAAGCACUUUGAAAAGAGAGUUAAACAGCACGUGAAAUUGUUGAAAGGGAAGCGCUUGCGACCAGACUCGCCCGCGGGGUUCAGCCGGCAUUCGUGCCGGUGUACUUCCCCGUGGGCGGGCCAGCGUCGGUUUGGGCGGCCGGUCAAAGGCCCCUGGAAUGUAGUGCCCUCCGGGGCACCUUAUAGCCAGGGGUGCAAUGCGGCCAGCCUGGACCGAGGAA
rnacentral:rRNA from 1 species